rnacentral:rRNA from 1 species
UACGUAGGGUGCAAGCGUUAAUCGGAAUUACUGGGCGUAAAGCGUGCGCAGGCGGUUUUGUAAGUCUGUCGUGAAAUCCCCGGGCUCAACCCGGGAACUGCGUCCGAUACUGGAAGGCUUGAAUCCGGGAGAGGGAUGCGGAAUUCCAGGUGUAGCGGUGAAAUGCGUAGAUAUCUGGAGGAACACCGGUGGCGAAGGCGGCAUCCUGGACCGGUAUUGACGCUGAGGCGCGAAAGCCAGGGGAGCAAACGGG